UGGCAUACGUGAUCGUGAACUAAAACGCGAAUAUCGACAACGAAUACGAAUACGAAUACGAAUACGAAUACGAAUAAGACACCGCCGCCGAUGCCAUGCCAUUAUCAAAUUCAAGGAAUUUUCCGUCAGUUGAAAAAGAAAAGAAAAGGAAUUUCAAUGUUUUAAGAAACAGGCCGAUACGUAGGAAGCCAUAUUCAAAUUAGAAUAUCAAUUCCAAUCAUUGCUCGAGUAAUUCAGUAAAAAAAUGAAAUCUGAUAA